rnacentral:rRNA from 1 species
UACCUGCAGCUCGAGUGGUAACCGCUAUUAUUGGGCCUAAAGCGUCCGUAGCCGGUUUGGUAAAUAUCUGGGUAAAUCGUGAGGCUUAACUUCACGAAUUUCGGAUAGACUGCCAGACUUGGGAUCGGGGGAGGUCAGAGGUACUCCAGGGGUAGCGGUGAAAUGUUGUAAUCCUUGGAGGACCACCGGUAGCGAAGGCGUCUGACUAGAACGAGUCCGACGGUGAGGGACGAAGCCCUGGGGCGCAAAACCCGGAUUAGAUACCCGGGUAGUCCAGGGUGUAAACGAUGUGGGCUUUGUAUUGGAGGUCCCACGUGGCGUCCAGUGCAGAAGAGAAGUUGUUAAGCCCACCGCCUGGGAAGUACGGUCGCAAGGCUGAAACUUAAAGGAAUUGGCGGGGGAGCACAGCAACGGGAGGAGCGUGCGGUUU